GGAAUAUUGGACAAUGGGGGCAACCCUGAUCCAGCCAUGCCGCGUGUGUGAAGAAGGCCUUCGGGUUGUAAAGCACUUUCAGUGGUGAGGAAGGCGUUGUAGUUAAUAGCUGCAACGAUUGACGUUAGCCACAGAAGAAGCACCGGCUAACUCAGUGCCAGCAGCCGCGGUAAUACGGAGGGUGCGAGCGUUAAUCGGAAUUACUGGGCGUAAAGCGCACGUAGGCGGUUUGUUAAGCAAGAUGUGAAAGCCCAGGGCUCAACCUUGGAAUUGCAUUUUGAACUGGCAAGCUAGAGUUUUGAAGAGGGUGGUAGAAUUUCCUGUGUAGCGGUGAAAUGCGUAGAUAUUGGAAGGAAUACCAGUGGCGAAGGCGGCCACCUGGUCAAAAACUGACGCUGAGGAGCGAAAGCGUGGGGAGCA
rnacentral:rRNA from 1 species